GUCCGGGGCUGCUAUCAAGAACCAAACCUCUCUCAGGGGGUAGACAAAAGCUCGGAUAGCAUGUGAAAUACUUGCCAUAGCCAUGCCUGGGAGGAGGCAAGGGUAGCUACAGGGCAUGCAACUACCUCCUAAAGAGACCAAAGUUCUCCGCUACCAGCCCGGGAGGAAUCUGGGGCUGCUAUCCAGAACCAAACCUCUCUCAGGAGGUAGACAAAAGCCAUAAACUUAUCCAAAACAUGUUACAAAGGCAUGCUCGCGAGGACGCAAGGGGAGCGACCAGGCACGCACCUACCUUCAAAAGGGACAAGAGCUCUCCAGUACCUGCUGUGGACGAAUCUGGGACUACUACCCAGACAAAGGGAACUGGGCACUCGUCAAUACACCUGCCCUGGAGCGCUUCUGGAUGCUGCAUGAGUUUCUCUCUCCCUGCAAUUCGGUAAAGAACACGCUGCAAAA